UUUUAUGGAGAGUUUGAUCCUGGCUCAGGAUGAACGCUGGCGGCGUGCCUAAUACAUGCAAGUCGAGCGAACGGACGAGAAGCUUGCUUCUCUGAUGUUAGCGGCGGACGGGUGAGUAACACGUGGAUAACCUACCUAUAAGACUGGGAUAACUUCGGGAAACCGGAGCUAAUACCGGAUAAUAUUUUGAACCGCAUGGUUCAAAAGUGAAAGACGGUCUUGCUGUCACUUAUAGAUGGAUCCGCGCUGCAUUAGCUAGUUGGUAAGGUAACGGCUUACCAAGGCAACGAUGCAUAGCCGACCUGAGAGGGUGAUCGGCCACACUGGAACUGAGACACGGUCCAGACUCCUACGGGAGGCAGCAGUAGGGAAUCUUCCGCAAUGGGCGAAAGCCUGACGGAGCAACGCCGCGUGAGUGAUGAAGGUCUUCGGAUCGUAAAACUCUGUUAUUAGGGAAGAACAUAUGUGUAAGUAACUGUGCACAUCUUGACGGUACCUAAUCAGAAAGCCACGGCUAACUACGUGCCAGCAGCCGCGGUAAUACGUAGGUGGCAAGCGUUAUCCGGAAUUAUUGGGCGUAAAGCGCGCGUAGGCGGUUUUUUAAGUCUGAUGUGAAAGCCCACGGCUCAACCGUGGAGGGUCAUUGGAAACUGGAAAACUUGAGUGCAGAAGAGGAAAGUGGAAUUCCAUGUGUAGCGGUGAAAUGCGCAGAGAUAUGGAGGAACACCAGUGGCGAAGGCGACUUUCUGGUCUGUAACUGACGCUGAUGUGCGAAAGCGUGGGGAUCAAACAGGAUUAGAUACCCUGGUAGUCCACGCCGUAAACGAUGAGUGCUAAGUGUUAGGGGGUUUCCGCCCCUUAGUGCUGCAGCUAACGCAUUAAGCACUCCGCCUGGGGAGUACGACCGCAAGGUUGAAACUCAAAGGAAUUGACGGGGACCCGCACAAGCGGUGGAGCAUGUGGUUUAAUUCGAAGCAACGCGAAGAACCUUACCAAAUCUUGACAUCCUUUGACAACUCUAGAGAUAGAGCCUUCCCCUUCGGGGGACAAAGUGACAGGUGGUGCAUGGUUUUCGUCCU
rnacentral:rRNA from 1 species